UAGCACAGGUUACCAAUUUGACUAUGUAUUUGAUUGGACAAUAUUAAAAUAUCAACAAAUUGGUUCUAGCUCCAAACCAAGGGUUAGUAUUAUGGCAUAUAGUUGGUUAUUUUUCAGAACUGAACACAUGUCUCAUAUGGUCUGUGAUCUUAAUCUUGCAGCCAGCCGCAAAAUCAGCUUUAAAUCCUGGACCUUCUGCUGAAAGAGCUGAGAGGACUUCAGGGGGGCAAGAAAUCCGGGAUAGAUUUUCUGGCGCAGUUGAGGCGUUUGCUAGAAGAAAUCAUCCAGGCUCGGGUUCGCAAGGUGAUCAUUCACGUCAUAGAUCAUCAGAUGAUCCAUCAUCGAAGGAUGUGCAAGCAGACCGUGAAAGAAAAGCAAGUAGACCGUGAAAGAAGUUGCAUUUCAAGGAACAGGCGUACUUCAAAGAGAUCAGCAAUUGCAUCAUCAAGUAGGCCAAGUUCUUCUGGUGAGCCUAGUGAUGGCAGGUAAAGCAGGCUGAUGUUAUAUUUUUUUUGUUUUUCUAUUAAAUUGUGGCUAACGAAGGCCCGGUUACUUGGGGUGGGUGCAAGCAAUAGCUUGCUGUAGAAUUGUGCUAAGUUGGUGAUGCUUAUUUUCUAUUGGUGCUGGUCUGAAGCCAGCUUGGUAGUUUGAGUUGCUACAUUACCAAAGUUGACAUGUUGACUUUGUAAUUAAUUACUCGUACUCUAUA